UACAGAGGUGGCAAGCGUUGUUCGGAUUUACUGGGCGUAAAGGGUGCGUAGGUGGUCACCUAUGUCGGGUGUGAAAUCCCACGGCUUAACCGUGGAACUGCAUUCGAAACUGGGUGACUUGAGUGCAGGAGGGGAGAGCGGAAUUCUUGGUGUAGCGGUGAAAUGCGUUGAUAUCAAGAAGAACACCGGUGGCGAAGGCGGCUCUCUGGAAUGUUACUGACACUGAGGCACGAAAGCUGGGGGAGCAAACAGG
rnacentral:rRNA from 1 species